AAUCACUGCGCAAGGCCGCGCGAGGUCGCGCGGUCCAGGCGCGCGGCCGCGCGACCCAGCCGCGCGACGGAGCAGACCUUGCUGGAGGAGCGCGCGGGCUCGGCGCGCGGGCGCGCGAGAAGGCCGCGCGAGGGCAUGCGGUCUCGGCGCGCGGCCGCGCGACCCGGCCGCGCGAGACGCCGAGUUUCCGCCCUAAAUUCGUUUUUCAGCCUUUUUACGCGAUUUUGGGUAUUUUUGAGUCCUACUUGACCUAGGACAUAUAAAUACUCCCCAAUAACUUAUUCUAAGAACCUUUUAUCAGCUUAUAUCAUAUUUUACUUUUCCUGAGAGCUGAGAGAGACGGAGAACGGAG
rnacentral:lncRNA from 1 species